AUUGAACGCUGGCGGCAGGCUUAACACAUGCAAGUCGAACGAGUGGCGGACGGGUGAGUAAUGUCUGGGAAACUGCCUGAUGGAGGGGGAUAACUACUGGAAACGGUAGCUAAUACCGCAUACCAUCAGAUGUGCCCAGAUGGGAUUAGCUUGUCGGUGGGGUAAUGGCUCACCUAGGCGACGAUCCCUAGCUGGUCUGAGAGGAUGACCAGCCACACUGGAACUGAGAAACGGUCCAGACUCCUACGGGAGGCAGCAGUGGGGAAUAUUGCACAAUGGGCGCAAGCCUGAUGCAGCCAUGCCGCGUGGGUGAAGAAGGCCUUCGGGUUGUAAAGCACUUUCAGCGAGGAGGCGUUACCCGCAGAAGAAGCACCGGCUAACUCCGUGCCAGCGGCCGCGGUAAUUC
rnacentral:rRNA from 1 species